GACGAACCGUCCAAACGUUAUUCGGAAUUACUGGGCUUAAAGGGUGCGUAGGCGGCGCGGUAAGUUGGGUGUGAAAUCCCUCGGCUCAACCGAGGAAUUGCGCUUGAUACUGCCGUGCUCGAGGGAGACAGAGGUGAGCGGAACUUAGGGUGGAGCGGUGAAAUGCGUUGAUAUCCUAAAGGAACACCGAGGUGGCAGGAAACGGCUGGCUCGACCUUGG
rnacentral:rRNA from 1 species